GACGAACGCUGGCGGCGUGCUUAACACAUGCAAGUCGAACGGUGAGGCCCUGCUUUUGUGGGGUGCUCGAGUGGCGAACGGGUGAGUAACACGUGAGUAACCUGCCCCUGACUUUGGGAUAACUUCAGGAAACUGGGGCUAAUACCGGAUAGGAGCUCCUGCUGCAUGGUGUGGGAUGGAAAGUUUCGGCGGUUGGGGAUGGACUCGCGGCUUAUCAGCUUGUUGGUGGGGUAGUGGCUUACCAAGGCUUUGACGGGUAGCCGGCCUGAGAGGGUGACCGGCCACAUUGGGACUGAGAUACGGCCCAGACUCCUACGGGAGGCAGCAGUGGGGAAUAUUGCACAAUGGGCGGAAGCCUGAUGCAGCAACGCCGCGUGGGGGAUGACGGCCUUCGGGUUGUAAACCGCUUUCGCCUGUGACGAAGCGUGAGUGACGGUAACGGGUAAAGAAGCACCGGCUAACUACGUG
rnacentral:rRNA from 1 species